CCUACGGGAGGCAGCAGUGGGGAAUAUUGCACAAUGGGGGAAACCCUGAUGCCGCGACGCCGCGUGAGUGAAGAAGUAUUUCGGUAUGUAAAGCUCUAUCAGCAGGGAAGAAAAAAGACGGUACCUGACUAAGAAGCCCCGGCUAACUACGUGCCAGCAGCCGAGGUAAUACGUAGGGGGCAAGCGUUAUCCGGAUUUACUGGGGUUAAAGGGAGCGUAGACGGCGCGGCAAGUCUGAAGGUAAAUGUAGGGGCUUAACCCCUGAACUUCUUGGUAAACUGCCAUGCUAGAGUGCUGGAGAGGUAAGUGGAAUUCCUAGUGUAGCGGUGAAAUGCGUAGAUAUUAGGAGGAACACCAGUGGCGAAGGCGGCUUACUGGACAGUAACUGACGUUGAGGCUCGAAAGCGUGGGGAGCAAACAGGAUUAGAUACCCCUGUAGUC
rnacentral:rRNA from 1 species